rnacentral:rRNA from 1 species
UACGAAGGGAGCUAGCGUUGUUCGGAAUCACUGGGCGUAAAGCGCACGUAGGCGGAUGUGUCAGUCAGGGGUGAAAGUCCCGGAGCUCAACUUCGGAACUGCCUUUGAUACAGCACGUCUUGAGUCCGAUAGAGGUGGGUGGAAUUCCUAGUGUAGAGGUGAAAUUCGUAGAUAUUAGGAAGAACACCGGUGGCGAAGGCGGCCCACUGGAUCGGUACUGACGCUGAGGUGCGAAAGCGUGGGGAGCAAA